rnacentral:tRNA from 1 species
GUUGUGGCUCAGUAGUAGAGCACUAGCCUGGCAUGUGUGAGGCCCUGGGUUCAAUCCUCAGCCCCACA